rnacentral:tRNA from 1 species
CAGGGAAUAGUUUAUAAGAAAAUAUUAAUUUUGGGGAUUAAUGAAAAGUGAUAAUUUUUCUCUGA